rnacentral:rRNA from 1 species
AUGGAUAUGGAACACGAAAUACCAAAAAAAUUUGGUUUACUUGCUACUCAUGGAGAUGGGGAACCUCCUAAAACACUCGAUGCUCAUUAUGUGAAAGAUAUUAUGUACUACUUUAAUAAUCCUGAGAAAACCCCAUUCAAUUAUGUUAUGGGAGACACAUUGGAUCAACGUGAAUACUUUAGGGAUUAUCGCUUGACUCAAAAAGGGAAACUAUUGUGGGAUCAAAUUUAUAUGUUGUAUUGGUAUGCUAGGAAACUAUGCUUGAGAUAUGAUUAUACUUGUUGCUCUAGGAUGAAGGCUCCAUGCCUUCCCUUUUCAUGCAAAUUUAAUGAUAAUGAAACCUUGGCUUCUUAUGCUAAUGGUAUAUAUGAUUACUAUGACGUGGAACGAAUAGAAGAAUUUGUUGCUUUUAAGGGUGCUUGUGAAAUUGAAUCUUUGUUUAAAGAGUUUGAAGAUUUUGAUGAUUCAGUUUAUAGACCUGAAAAUUUAGCUAUCCUUAAAUAUUUCUAUGAGAAUUAUAAAUACAAUUAUGAUAUUGAUGAAUUUAUUGAGAAAGUCUCCGCUGUCCGAGAAGAGACUAAUAUUUUGCAGGAGUCUAUGGAAGAAGAAAUUGAUGAAACUGUGAUCUCAUUGGAUGAAAAAGAUGAUGAGGAGAGCGAAGAACAAAAGGAGGAAGAUCGGAUUAGCUAUCCGUGCCCACCUUCUAAUGAGAGUAACUCUCCAACUCAUACAUUAUUUAAUGUCCCUUCGUUCUUACUGAAGGAUGAAUGCCAUGAGAAUUGCUAUGAUCCCAUUGAUUCGUUUGAAAUGUCCCUUUUUGAUGAACUUGAUGCUUGCUAUGCUUGUGGCCAGGAUGCCAAUAUGAAUUAUGCUUAUAGAUAUGAACUUGCUAUAGUUCCUUAUGUUAAACAUGAAAAUGUUGCUAUUGCACCCACGCAUGAUAGUCCUAUUAUCUUUUUGAAUUCUCCCGACUACACUAUAUCGGAGCAGUUUGCCCUCAUUAAGGAUUAUAUUGAUGGGUUGCGUUUCACUACUACACAUGAUGAUUUUGAUAGAUAUAAUAUGCAUGUGCUUGCUGCUCCUACUUGCAAUUAUUAUGAGAGAGGAACUACAUCUCCGCCUCUCCAUGUUUCCAAUAUGAUAAAAUUGCAAGAAACUGUUUAUACUAUGCAUUGGCCUUUACUAUGUGUUCAUGAAUUGUUCUUGCAUGACAUGCCGAUGCAUAGGAAGAGAGUUAGACUUCGUCAUUGCUUGAUAUAUGUUGCUUUGUGCUCACUACUAAAUUCUAAAUCAUUGUUGAUUAAAAUUGGCUUUGAUAUACCUUGGGAUCCGGGUGGAUUCAUUACUUGA